rnacentral:rRNA from 1 species
AGAGCGAACGCUGGCGGCAGGCUUAACACAUGCAAGUCGAGCGGGCGUAGCAAUACGUCAGCGGCAGACGGGUGAGUAACGCGUGGGAACGUACCUUUUGGUUCGGAACAACACAGGGAAACUUGUGCUAAUACCGGAUAAGCCCUUACGGGGAAAGAUUUAUCGCCAAAAGAUCGGCCCGCGUCUGAUUAGCUAGUUGGUGAGGUAACGGCUCACCAAGGCGACGAUCAGUAGCUGGUCUGAGAGGAUGAUCAGCCACAUUGGGACUGAGACACGGCCCAAACUCCUACGGGAGGCAGCAGUGGGGAAUAUUGGACAAUGGGCGCAAGCCUGAUCCAGCCAUGCCGCGUGAGUGAUGAAGGCCCUAGGGUUGUAAAGCUCUUUGUGCGGGAAGAUAAUGACGGUACCGCAAGAAUAAGCCCCGGCUAACGUUCGUGCCAGCAGCCGC